rnacentral:rRNA from 1 species
UACGUAGGGUGCGAGCGUUGUCCGGAAUUAUUGGGCGUAAAGAGCUUGUAGGCGGUUUGUCGCGUCUGCUGUGAAAAUCCGGGGCUCAACCCCGGACUUGCAGUGGGUACGGGCAGACUAGAGUGUGGUAGGGGGAGACUGGAAUUCCAGGUGUAGCGGUGAAAUGCGUAGAUAUCUGGAGGAACACCGGUGGCGAAGGCAGCACUCUGGGCCGGUACUGACGCUGAGGAGCGAAAGCAUGGGGAGCGAACAGG